GGGGGGGAGCGGGAGAGACGCGGAAAAGGUCAAACUGAAGGCGAGCCGGGGAAGCGGCGGCUGCAGCGGCGGGAGCGGCGCCCCUUCCCGGCAGGCAUCUUCCAAAUCCGACUCCGGGCUGGUCACAAUAUAACACCAUAAAAAACCAAUACAGACCAAUACCAGAGGGGCUCCGGUCACCAUAUGGAGAGAAAUUGCAAGAUUCAGAUGGACCUCACCUGCACUCCAAAGAAAUUGUAGUUUGUUGUUGUAAACAUCCCCGACUGGAAGCUGGAAAAUGUAGCUUUCAGUCCGAUGUUUGCUGCCGCCGGCUACUCAUAAACAACACUGGAAAGAGAAAGAUCCAUCAUCAAGAGGCUUUGUUUUUAAAGCUGGCAGGGGCUCUUCAGCAUUUCUGCUUCUUAAAACUACAAUUUUGGACAGCUUGAGAAAUAUUCACCCACACGCAUUCAUACAUUCAUUUAAGUGUCUUGGCAUUCCGUUGAGAACUGAAUGGUUAAGGAUGAUGAGACAUAAAAGAAGAAACAUUUCAAGGUGCCUCUCUGGCAUCUGAAACCCACACUCUAUGCUCUUGAAUGUUGGGGUGUGUCCUAUGUUUUCCUCCCAUUUG